rnacentral:sRNA from 1 species
GGGACGCCAUCCUCACCACCCUCCGGCAGGUGUAUCCGAACGAGCCGACCACGGCUUAUUCGGACGACGCGCUCCUCGGACCCUCCUUCUUCCGCGUCGGCCGGUGGCAAUACAACAUCCAUGGCGGACACCACGUCCAGCGUUUCGACCUGGAUGCUGUCAUUGACAUGCCGGCCGCACGUGUGGAGAAGGUCGUGUUCCGCGUUAAGUCAAACUGGGGCGCGGCGCAUACAUGUCUCUAUCGUGUGAGACUGCAUGGACACCUAUAGGCAUACUUCCGCCGGAAGCUAUGGGUCUUGGUGGAAAUGGUGUUUUCUUUCUCCCCUAACUGGUCAGCUGGAUGGAAUGUACGGUGGUUAACAUGGUGGGUGUGGUUUUUACUGAGAGCGGGCUAAAGGGGGUUUUGUGAGUGUUCCUGGGGUUGUAUUACAUGCGUUGUUUGUGGGUAUUACAUGUGUCUUAUACAGAUAUAUAGAAGGCCUCUUGGUGUUGAGUAGGUUGGGUGUUUGGGAUUUGGUGUUCUGGGUUCUUGAUGUCGCUUUUCGUCUGGGUGGUGGAUUUGGAGGGUUUUUUCGAGUCUGGAGUUUUGGGCUAGAUAUUCAACAAGGCAGGUGUCUGUGGGCGGUUUCUGGGUAAUGUACUGGACUUGGUCUUUGUUGCUGGCGGUGCAGGAUGUCUUUUUAUUUUUUUAUUUUUUUAUUUUUUUCUAAAAAAAUCUCCCCCUGUUUUCUAUUUUUUCUUUCUUCCGAAGUUUUCUUUUCUGCCAUCUUGUGUUUGUUUUCUGCUCCCUCUCUCUACAGUUAUGUGUGAGCGCUUUUUCUGUAUUAUUCCCACAUAUUCUCCUUCGUUUUGAUUUUUGAUAUUUUUUGAUCUCUAUCUUCCAGCUUGUGUGUCCUGUCUGUAUCCUGCAUAUAAAGCUGAGUGUUUUUUUCUCUUAUAGUUUAUUCUAUUUUAUUUGUAUUCUUCUGUUUGUUUACCUUUUACCGUUUUCUUCCUCUCAAGUGGCAAAUGUAUUUAUCAAUUUCCCGUGCAUCUACCUAGCACAGAUUGCAUGACGUUUAUUAAUAGUGAGAUUCAACUCGGCUCGCAAGAGUGAACAGCAUAUUCCAGUUUCAAACGUAGCAAUUGUGACCAUCCUGAGGUCAUUCUGGCGGAUUAAACGCACCAACGCGCCCCACGUAACCUCUCUCGUGGGCCUAUAGUUAGAGGAAAAUGGAUGAUGACCAGACUAGAUUACCCAAACGCCAAUCAAUACCUGGUGCGUUCGCAUAUGCAUUCUGCAACCCAAUGCCAAUGAAUCCCAGGUCCAAACAAAGACUCUUUUAACGAACGCUGAGGACGCAAAAUUAAAGGAUUAAAUGAAUAAGCGAGGAAGUCGAAAAAUAAAUUUAAAAAAAAAAAAAAAAACUCUUUACGUCUCUAUAUGUGCGUCUUUACCAAUCUCUCUUACCAUUCCAAUUCAGUGGGUUUAUUUGUGUGUGUGGGGUGGAGAGGGAAUAGUUAUGGAUAAAGCUUUCCCAAAUCCAGAUCCUCUACACUUCAAAUUUCAAUAUUGGAAAAGACAUCAGAAGCCCC